rnacentral:rRNA from 1 species
CCUACGGGAGGCAGCAGUGAGGAAUAUUGGUCAAUGGGCGCGAGCCUGAACCAGCCAAGUAGCGUGAAGGAUGACUGCCCUACGGGUUGUAAACUUCUUUUAUAAAGGAAUAAAGUGAGGCACGUGUGCCUUUUUGUAUGUACUUUAUGAAUAAGGAUCGGCUAACUCCGUGCCAGCAGCCGCGGUAAUCCGGGGGAUGCGAGCGUUAGCCGGAUUUAUGGGGGUUAAAGGGUGCGUAGGCGGAGCGUUAAGUCAGUGGGAAAAUUGAGGGGCUCACCCCCUUCCCGCCAUUGAAACUGGCGCUCUUGAGUGGAAGAGAAGUAUGCGGAAUGCGUGGUGUAGCGGUGAAAUGCAUAGAUAUCACGCAGAACCCCGAUUGCGAAGGCAGCAUGCCGGCUUCCGACUGACGCUGAAGCACGAAAGCGUGGGGAUCGAACAGGAUUAGAUACCCUAGUAGUC